CGGUUGAUCCUGCCGGAGGCUACUGCUAUCGGGAUUCGAUUAAGCCAUGCGAGUCGAGAGGGUUCGGCCCUCGGCUGACGGCUCAGUAACACGUGGAUAACCUGCCCUCAGGUAGGGGAUAAUCUCGGGAAACUGAGGAUAAUACCCUAUAGACAUCCUUUGCUGGAAUGCUUGGAUGUUCAAAGGCGACGCCUGAGGAUGGGUCUGCGGCCUAUCAGGUAGUAGUGGGUGUAACGGACCCACUAGCCUACGACGGGUACGGGCCUUGAAAGAGGUAGCCCGGAGAUGGACUCUGAGACACGAGUCCAGGCCCUACGGGGCGCAGCAGGCGCGAAAACUUCGCAAUGCGGGAAACCGUGACGAGGGAAUCCCGAGUGCUCAUACAAUGUAUGGGCUUUUAUGAUGUGUAAAAAGCAUUAGGAAUAAGGGCUGGGUAAGACCGGUGCCAGCCGCCGCGGUAAUACCGGCAGCUCUAGUGGUAGCCACUUUUAUUGGGCCUAAAGCGUCCGUAGCCUGUCAAGUAAAUCCUUGGGUAAAUCGUACAGCUUAACUGUGCGGCUUCCGAGGAGACUGCUUGACUUGGGACCGGGAGAGGUUGGAGGUACUCCUGGGGUAGGGGUGAAAUCCUGUAAUCCUAGGUGGACCACCGGUGGCGAAGGCGUCCAACCAGAACGGCUCCGACGGUGAGGGACGAAGGCUAGGGGCGCAAACCGGAUUAGAUACCCGGGUAGUCCUAGCUGUAAACGCUGCAGACUUGGUGUU
rnacentral:rRNA from 1 species